GAUGAACGCUGGCGGUGUGCCUAAUACAUGCAAGUCGAACGGGCUCUUCGGAGCUAGUGGCGGACGGGUGAGUAACACGUUGGUACCUACCCCGAAGUGGGGAAGUAACUGCCCGAAAGGGUGGCUAAUACCGCAUAAUCCCGCAAGGGUAAAGCAGUAAUGCGCUUCGGGAGGGGCCUGCGUCUGAUUAGCUAGUUGGUGAGGUAAUUGCUCACCAAGGCUACGAUCAGUAGCNGGAUCGAGAGGUUGACCAGCCACACUGGGACUAAGAUACGGCCCAGACUCCUACGGGAGGCAGCAGUAAGGAAUCUUCCACAAUGGACGAAAGUCUGAUGGAGCAACACCGCGUGCAGGAUGACGGCCUUCGGUU
rnacentral:rRNA from 1 species